rnacentral:rRNA from 1 species
UACGAAGGGGGCUAGCGUUGCUCGGAAUCACUGGGCGUAAAGCGCACGUAGGCGGCUCUUUAAGUCAGGGGUGAAAUCCCAAGGCUCAACCUUGGAACUGCCUUUGAUACUGGGGAUCUCGAGUCCGGAAGAGGUUGGUGGAACUCCGAGUGUAGAGGUGAAAUGCGCAGAUAUCGGGAGGAACACCAAUGGCGAAGGCAGCUCGCUGGGACGGUACUGACGCUGAGACGCGAAAGCGUGGGGAGCAAACAGG